CGAUUGGAUAGUGCAGGAAACUGCAUGAAACUCGCCCGUAAUCCCGGCAUCACCGUGCAAGCGGUGUGGCGACUUCUUCAACCGCUGCCACAGCAGCCUUCAC
rnacentral:ncRNA from 1 species